UACGUAGGGGGCAAGCGUUGUCCGGAUUUAUUGGGCGUAAAGCGCACGUAGGCGGAUUGCUAAGUCAGGGGUGAAAUCCUGGAGCUCAACUCCAGAACUGCCUUUGAUACUGGCGACCUUGAGUCCGGGAGAGGUGAGUGGAACUGCGAGUGUAGAGGUGAAAUUCGUAGAUAUUCGCAAGAACACCAGUGGCGAAGGCGGCUCACUGGCCCGGUACUGACGCUGAGGCGCGAAAGCGUGGGGAGCAAACAGG
rnacentral:rRNA from 1 species